GGUCAAAUACUAGAAUGGACACAAUUGGUCAGUGUCCAGAAUUAGCCAGUGUGGCUAAAUUCAGACACAGAUCAUGCUAGCAUUUUGAAGAAAAAAGGUCAACAAUUGUUUACUGUCUCACCU
ensembl:snoRNA